AUAUACGUGUGGGCCUCAUGGAUUUCAGGCGUGUUGGCACGUCAAAAAAAAAAAUGUGAGUGUUUGUGUGUGUGUGUGUGUAAAAAUGAGUAAAAUACACUUGUCUAUGUGUGCGUGUGUGUGGUGUUUUGGUGUUUCGCUCUCUUUUUUCUUCGUUUAUAUUUUUCAUUUACAUUUUUUUUUGCUGUACGUGUUUUAUGUGAAACGAAUUAGCAUAAUUUUUUUUUCUUUUCUUAAAUAAUUGAUUUAUUAUUUGCAUCUGAUUGUGAACGACAACGAGAGAAAACCCUCAUCGAUAUAUAUAUGUGAUUGACGAAAAACGUUAACAACAAAAGACAGGUGUCGAACGUGUGUGUGAUGUGUGUGUGUAUGUGUGAAUUCGAAUUGAGCAAUUUUUGAUCGAUAUUUUUUUUUUUUGUUUGUUUGUAAUGUGAAAAAUUAAUGGUUAAAUUUUUCUUCUUAAUUUUUUGUUGUUUUUUCAUUCUUUAUUCGUUGAAUUUUUGAAUAUAAAAAUCCCCACUUGAAAAUUCAAUUCAUCGUCAAUUGUCUUCAGUCGAUUAUUGUUAUUGUCUUUUAUUGUUCACCACUGGAAUAGAGUUGAAAUCAAAAACGACAGUAAUAAUAAUUUUUCGUCACAUAAUUCAUCAUCAUUCACAUCAAGUUUUGAUUUGUCACAUUUGAAAAUUGAAAUCGUUAUUUAUCCAUAUUUUGUGUGAAAUUUUUUUUCCAAAAUUCAAAUAUACAACAAUUAUAAAUCAAAACGAAGCCGAAACUAGCAAAAAAACCUGAAAAUAUUGUCCAUGGUGGCCGUGUGAUUUAUUGUGGUGUGUGUGUGUGUUUGAUAUAUACUGAGUCCAUGUGCUUGUUUUGACGUGUUUUGGGCCAUUUUUUUCGUCGUUGUUGAUUUAAUCAAUCGAUAAUUGAUCAAAUAUCCUUUAUCGACAACAUUUUAUUUCUUCAUCUCGCUGAAUGAAUAGACGUCAAAGUAAAAAAAAAUAGGUAAUUAAACACGAGGAAAAAUUCCAG